CAUACCUAUAACGUUGCCUCGGCGGGAACAGACGGCCCCGUAACACGGGCCGCCCCCGCCAGAGGACCCCCUAACUCUGUUUCUAUAAUGUUUCUUCUGAGUAAACAAGCAAAUAAAUUAAAACUUUCAACAACGGAUCUCUUGGCUCUGGCAUCGAUGAAGAACGCAGCGAAAUGCGAUAAGUAAUGUGAAUUGCAGAAUUCAGUGAAUCAUCGAAUCUUUGAACGCACAUUGCGCCCGCCAGUAUUCUGGCGGGCAUGCCUGUUCGAGCGUCAUUACAACCCUCAGGCCCCCGGGCCUGGCGUUGGGGAUCGGCGGAAGCCCCCUGCGGGCACAACGCCGUCCCCCAAAUACAGUGGCGGUCCCGCCGCAGCUUCCAUUGCGUAGUAGCUAACACCUCGCAACUGGAGAGCGGCGCGGCCACGCCGUAAAACACCCAACUUCUGAAUGUUGACCUCGAAUCAGGUAGGAAUACCCGCUGAACUUAAGCAUAUCAAUAAGCGGAG
rnacentral:rRNA from 1 species